CUUCCUUCCUUGUCAUGGAGUCAUUGAAAGAGUGGAUGGAGAAGGGAAAAACCUUGGCAGAUGAGUUGGAAGCAAAAGCCAAAGCUAGAAACCCCCCAAAGAAAAGGAAGCAAAAGGGGGCUGAAGGCUUCAAGGUUACCUGGAGGAAGCGGGACCGGAAUGGGAACAUCAUACCGCAACACGUAAGGAAGAAUCGAUCAGUUAAACCUUCUGGCUCUCGUGAGCUCCCAAGAGUUGAGGAACUACACGAAGAUGAAAUUCCUCCGGCGGUCCCAAAUCUUGAUCAACGUCUUCAGAUAUUAAGAGACCUGUUGUCCUCGGUCACUGUCCCUGCCUCACCUGAAGUGGAAGAGACACCUACCAUGUCUGCAUGGACCCAAAGACAGUUGACUGCUCAAAGAAGGUUCAGAGCUGCAAUGCCAGAGCUCUUGAACUGCAAAUUGGCUGCAGAGACUGUUACAAAGAAAUUCUGUGAGAAAUGCAAAACUGCCGACGCUGUGGUCCGUUGCCUGGACUGUGUUCCCUCGGGAACUCAGUUUCUCUGUCCUGCUUGUGACUCCACGGUUCACAAAAAACAUGUCUUUCAUGACAGAGAAGCCAUGACUGAUGGUUUUUUCCAACCCAUUCCUCCCACAUCCUCAGUGAUGAUAGACCAAAGUGGUCAACAUCAACUUGCUGAACAAGUGUGUGUGCUUCCUAUACCUCUACCACUACAAGUCUGCACCUGCGGCACAGACCAAGACUUCACCAUUGUCCCUGGUAAACAGACUGUCUUGGUGACUAUCAAUGGCCCAUACAACUUGUGCCUGCCUGUUGUGUGCUGCCCACUUUGUGACUACAAGUGGACCCCAGGGAUAAAUUACCUACUUGGAUGUAGAUACUGGCCAGCAACCACCAGCUGCCAACUCCUUUUCAAGUUUGAUGUGUUCACAUCAUUUGAAGAGAUGAAGUUGGCUAGCCCAGCAUUAUCCCAACAAGCAUUCCUGAGAAUGCUUGAACAUAGAUCCCUUAGCACAGGACGGAUGGGUAGUAUUUGUGGUGAUACCUUCCACAGAGCCUUUCGAGAAUUUGCCUUCUGCAAUUUUAAGAAAGAUGAUCUGUGCCAGGUGGAACCAUUUAAAUGUCCAGCGUGCACACCAGACAUGCUGGCCAUAUGUGCAGAUGGCAACAGGAAACAUUAUCGUUUCAAGAAGUCCAAAGGGACAGAUGAACCGUCUCUCUUUGAUGGACUCUUCAUUGCACAGGAUGCCAAAGUUUCAGCCUUUGUUGACCAAAUCCGAAGCCAGAUGACAGUUAGGACUGGCCAUGAUGUUUGUGGACCGGCAACAUUUACGCCAGCUCGAGAAACAUCCCAGAAAUCCAGAGCAAAGGUGGAUGAGGAGGGGCUGGAAAUAGCUGUGUGCAGACAUGGUAUAUUGCUGCAAGGCUUGAACCACUACCGUGGAGAAAUCUACGCCUAUCCACUCUUCUUGCAGAAAGAGUUGGCUGAAACAGCAAAUGUGACAUUCUUUUGCAUGGAUAUCACUUGCAGGUAUUGGCCAUACAUGGAGAAAAUGGCAGAGAAGUUGCCUGAACUCCAAUCCCUUACAGAGAUGAAGCCCUUUCUUUCUGUAAUGCAUGCCAAGGCUCACACUGGCAAAUGUGAGGUGAGUUGGGGUGGAAGGAACCAGGAAGGUGCAGGAAGUACGAUUGGUGAGGAAGUGGAACAGGUCAAUAGCUUCCUCUCAAGAGCAGCUCUCACUACAAAGUACAUGACCAAGUCAGGAAGAGCUGAUAUGAUAACUGUGCUUGCCAUGGGAUGGAACCAUCGAAAGGUUGAGAGUCUCCACAAGACACUGGCAAAGAGAUUUGUCAAAAGAGACCUGGUGCUGACAGUAGCCAGGAGGAGCUCCAGAGAGAGAUAGAUGACACGAUUUAUUCCCUUCGAAAGAAGAAACAUGACCUCUAUCGACAAAAUGACAGCAACAAAACACGGCAGCGGAAACGGAGGAGACUAACUGAGAGUAAGAAGAAACUCAGAGAGAGGAUCAUGCAGUACAACGAUGCUGCUGCUGAAAAAAUUGACAUCGAUGCAGCAUGCAGUCUCUCGGAGGAUGUCAUUUUGCCUUGGGAUGUGCAAGGAGAUGUGGUGAGUCUACGCUCGAAGAGGAGACUGUUUGACCAGGUCAUGCUGGUUAGGCGAAUGGAGGAAGAACGGCUGAUCAUUGUGAAGGAGAUGACCCAGCAUUGUCAUUACUUAAGAAAGGCAUUGGACAAACUGGAUCAUCUCCUUCAUUUUUUGGAUGAGGACAUCAAGAACCACAUGUCAUCAGCGGAGAUCACUGAAGAGGGAUACAGGGGAUUGCAGUGCUGUCUGCUGCACAAGCGGCACCUUCUUCAGAAGAAACUGAGCACGGUCCCCAGCACUUAUGCCCUUUUGGAUGCAAGUUCCUCUUUCACUCUUCCUUUGGAUGAAGGAAAAGAGGAGGGGGAAGAAAAAGAGGAAGAGGAGAGUGAAGAGGAUGACACCAGUUCAGAUGAAGAAUAGUCUUUCAUAUUUAUGCAUGUUUGUUUGUGUGUAUGUAUGUGUGAGGGACCAAGUCAGUCAGCAAUGAGGACAACGGGUAGCAUUUUCAAAAUGGGGUUUUUAUUAACCCAAAGUAUCAAGCGACAAAAUGUCUCGAAACAAAGUAUUGGGACCAUAAAAGAGGUCAGAUUAACAGUCAUAAAGUCAACUGAACAAACUGAAAGACGACAAGACAGACCUAUCUGACUGAACAAAGAGGGGAACUUAUAUACUGCUAAACAUAAGAGGGAUUAACAUAAACACUGAACACAAAAGACAACAGCUAAUUUACAAGGCAAACCAAACAUAAUCUAUACCAAAUCAAAUCAAAAUCUAUUUUAUUUGUAUAGUCCAAAGUCACAAAGUCCAUUUUCCUCUGAGGGCUUUACAAUC